ACGAACGCUGGCGGCGUGCUUAACACAUGCAAGUCGAACGAUGAAGAAAAGAAUUGAAGCUUCGGCAGAAAUUCAUUUCGGAUUAGUGGCAGACGGGUGAGUAACGCGUGAGCAACCUACCUCUUACAAAGGGAUAGCCUCGGGAAACCGGGAUUAAUACCAUAUAACAUUGCGACGAGGCAUUUCGAUGCAAUCAAAGCUACGGCGGUAAGAGAUGGGCUCGCGUCCCAUUAACCAGAUGGUGAGGUAACGGCUCACCAUAGCAACGAUGGGUAACCGGCCUGAGAGGGUGAACGGUCACACUGGAACUGAGACACGGUCCAGACUCCUACGGGAAGCAGCAGUGGGGAAUAUUGCACAAUGGAGGGAACUCUGAUGCAGCGACGCCGCGUGAGUGAUGAAGGAAUUCGUUUCGUAAAACUCUGUUCUAUGGGAAGAAAAGGACUGUACCAUAGGAGAAAGCUCCGGCUAAAUACGUG
rnacentral:rRNA from 1 species